GACAGUGAAUGGAACAUAAUUUUGACCAUGGGGGAACUUCCAGUAAGAAAAGCAGAUGUACAACUGUCUCCUGAGAGAGAAGAGAAUCCAGACGAGUCCUGCAACCAUCCUUAUUAAGACAGAUAGGGAAGGACUCCAGACUGGAGACAAGGAGACUUCUCUAGGGAAGCCCUCGAGACCUAUGCAUUGGCUGCCACUGAGGAAAGAAGGCUGUCUGCUCCACUGAAGAGCAUGGUGUGGAUUAGCAGGACUUUCAUUCAUUCAUUUUUAUAGAUAUCUGAUAUUUAGUGAGAAUGCUAUUAACUAAGAGACCCUGUGCUAGGUAGUGAAGAUGCUGAGAUGAGAAAGAUAAACUACGAACUGUGAUCCAAAUGAUUUGUCCAACAAAUGUGGGUUUAGACUUCAAACCUCAGAAAAUUGUCCAGCCUGCUGUAGCCCCAGGCAAGUCAUCCUGAAACAGUGCCUCUUGAGCACAUUGGAGUAUUUAAUGAACAGAUAUUGAUUGACUGACUGCUUAUGAGGGUGGCUUGUCAUUGCCCGUUACCCUGGAAGGCAGCUCAGAAGGCAGAACACGUUGGAGAGUGCCAGUGUGAACAAUCAUCUGUGGUGUAAUAGGAGAUACAUAUUUUGUCUUUGUCCCUGGUUCCUGACACAGAGCUCCUAAAAUCCUUGCACUCCGCAGAAUGAGAGUGUAUUUUGUAUGCUGAUGAAGGGUGGUUGGGGCCCUAGACAGCUUCAGGAGAGGGUAGGGAUACUGG